AUCGAACGCUGGCGGCAGGCCUAACACAUGCAAGUCGAACGAGUGGCGGACGGGUGAGUAAUGUCUGGGAAACUGCCUGAUGGCGGGGGAUAACUACUGGAAACGGUAGAUAAUACCGCAUAACAUCAGAUGUGCCCAGAUGGGAUUAGCUUGUUGGUGGGGUAACGGCUCACCAGGGCGACGAUCCCUAGCUGGUCUGAGAGGAUGACCAGCCAAACGGGAACUGAGAAACGGUCCGGACUCCUACGGGAGGCAGAAGUGGGGAAUAUUGCACAAUGGGCGCAAGCCUGAUGCAGCCAUGCCGCGUGUAUGAAGAAGGCCUUCGGGUUGUAAAGUACGUUCAGCGGGGAGGCGUUACUCGCAGAAGAAGCACCGGCUAACUCCGUGCCAGCAGCCGCGGUAAUAC
rnacentral:rRNA from 1 species